GAUGAACGCUGGCGGCGUGCCUAAUACAUGCAAGUCGAGCGAACGGACGAGAAGCUUGCUUCUCUGAUGUUAGCGGCGGACGGGUGAGUAACACGUGGAUAACCUACCUAUAAGACUGGGAUAACUUCGGGAAACCGGAGCUAAUGCCGGAUAAUAUUUUGAACCGCAUGGUUCAAAAGUGAAAGACGGUCUUGCUGUCACUUAUAGAUGGAUCCGCGCUGCAUUAGCUAGUUGGUAAGGUAACGGCUUACCAAGGCAACGAUGCAUAGCCGACCUGAGAGGGUGAUCGGCCACACUGGAACUGAGACACGGUCCAGACUCUUACGGGAGGCAGCAGUAGGGAAUCUUCCGCAAUGGGCGAAAGCCUGACGGAGCAACGCCGCGUGAGUGAUGAAGGUCUUCGGAUCGUAAAACUCUGUUAUUAGGGAAGAACAUAUGUGUAAGUAACUGUGCACAUCUUGACGGUACCUAAUCAGAAAGCCACGGCUAACUACGU
rnacentral:rRNA from 1 species